rnacentral:lncRNA from 1 species
AAUAGACUACUCAGCAAGUUAUAACAUUUCUUGGACAAUUCAUUCUUAUCUUCACAUGUGCCUUUGAUGCAUUAAAAAGUAUCUCGAGAAAAUACUGGCUUAUUGAAGGGCAAACCUUAGCCAGUGGCGGAGCUUCACACUAAUUGCUGGGCGGGCCAGCGAGGCCGUGCUGAAGAAAAUUACUACAACGUUUUUGUUUCAUGGCCUAAUAGCAGGUGUAUAUUACAGAGAUUUACAUUGGCUGGGCGGGCCAGGGCACAGGUUGGCCCAGCCGUAGCUCCGCCCCAGACCUUAGCAUGGUGAUGCAUUUUGUACUGAAUGUGGCAUAAGACCAUAGUAAAAUAGACUCACCCCUAACUUGUAAGAUUAGUUGGACAUUCCUCUUUAUUUGUUCACAUCUGUAUUUGGACGCAUUAAGAAAUACAUAAAUAGUGUGGACUUAUUUAGGGACAAACUUGAGUCUCAG